UACGUAGGGGGCAAGCGUUGUCCGGAAUCAUUGGGCGUAAAGAGCGUGUAGGUGGCUCGGUAAGUCCGCUGUGAAAGUCCAGGGCUCAGCCCUGGAAUGCCGGUGGAAACUGUCGAGCUAGAGUCCGGAAGAGGCGAGUGGAAUUCCUGGUGUAGCGGUGAAAUGCGCAGAUAUCAGGAGGAACACCGGUGGCGAAGGCGGGUCUCUGGGCCGUAACUGACGCUGAGGAGCGAAAGCAUGGGGAGCGAACAGG
rnacentral:rRNA from 1 species